UGACGAAAAUUCUCCGGAAUCUCUGUAAUGGCAUUGAUGAUUCCCCUGAACCCUUUUUAUUCUGAUGACUGACCAGGAAUGUGC